UACGUAGGGGGCAAGCGAUAUCCGGAUUUACUGGGUGUAAAGGGAGCGUAGACGGCAGUGCAAGUCUGGAGUGAAAGGCGGGGGCUCAACCCCCGGACUGCUCUGGAAACUGUACGGCUGGAGUGCAGGAGAGGUAAGUGGAAUUCCUAGUGUAGCGGUGAAAUGCGUAGAUAUUAGGAGGAACACCAGUGGCGAAGGCGGCUUACUGGACUGUAACUGACGUUGAGGCUCGAAAGCGUGGGGAGCAAACAGG
rnacentral:rRNA from 1 species